rnacentral:rRNA from 1 species
GCAAGUCGAACGAGAACGGGUAUUAGUUUACUAAUACUGUCAGCUAAGUGGCGCACGGGUGAGUAAUAUAUAGUUAAUCUGCCCCGAAGAAGAGAAUAAUUGUUGGAAACGACUUGUAAUGCUCUAUAUGCCCCUAAUACAUAAGUAUGCGGGGGAAACAUUUAUGGCUUCGGGAUGAGACUGUACAGUAUCAGUUAGUUGGUAGGGUAAUGGCCUACCAAGACUAUGACGCUUAACUGGUUUGAGAGGAUGAUC